AGCAGGGUCGUGCUCAGGGUGAUGUAGUUAGAUCGAGGCAGUGUCAGUGUAGACCCUGCAUUGCUGACACCGACCCGGUGCUGCCGUGCAGAAGCCAUCUCACACUGGCAGUGCAAUUGGUGCAAGCGCUCCUGGUGAGGCCGUGCACCGACACAAGGAGCGCGGUGUGGAUGUGCAAAAGCCGGCUAAGUCCCGCAGUGGCUGCACCGCCAGGCAACUCGGGGCAAUUCAUUUCAUCAUGCCGCCUUGCCCUUUAAGGGUUUUUCCCUCGGUCUGUUCCCGUAAGGAGCCGCUUCUCGCAGCUGGGCCAGGUGAGCCAGCUAGCCCCAAGGCUUGGCAGCUCAGCCAGGAGCUCCCUCCCACACUUUGCCCAGGCUUCGCCCCGGCUUCGGGCUUGCCUGGGGGGGCUGCCGCGCCGGCUGGAAGCAGGCGGGGCUCCGCGGGAGGGUCUGGCCAUCUGGCACUAAUUAAAACGCGCCCAGCCCCCGCACGUGGGUUUCCGGAGAUUGCACUGCCCCGGAGUUUUCCCCUUCAGCCCCUCAUCUGCCGCUAGCUACAGUAGCUUGAGCCCCCCUGGCCAGUAAAUUUCUGCCCCCCGCUCAGACCCUGACAGCCCCCGGCUGCGAUUUGCCCCACCCCCCCUUAAUCCUUUUAAACCCCUCCAAAGAGAAGGCAGCAAAUCGUAAGCAGAAGUGAGGGCAGUGGCAACAGGGAAGGUUACUGGGCAUGCUCAGUACACCCAAAGUAGGGAAAGGGGAGUAGGGUCUGUUUGCGUCGGUGUUGGGCUGCUUCCCUCCGCCUUGAUCUCCAGCUCUUCGCCUUCCCCGCGCACCUUCUCUGCCUCUCCGCUGCCCGGGGCCACGCCACGCCGCUCCUCUCUGCCCGUCCUGCCGAUCCCGCACCGGCUCCCCAGCCAUGGACCUCCCCAGCGCUGUGCCCUACGCCCGCCUGGAGAUCCCCAACCUCGACUCCGUGCCCUCCUACAAGUACUGGUCCAUCUUCAACAUCCUCUGCUGCUGCUUGCCCCUGGGGCUGGUCGCGGUCUUCUACUCGGGACAGGUGGAGGAGUGCCUAGCACGCAGAGAUAUUGCAGGAGCGAAGAGCGCCUCCAACACUGCAAGAACCAUCAACAUCCUCGCCGUGGUGAUCGGGCUGGCAUGCAUUGGUGUGACCAUAUUCUUUAUGAUCCAGAGAGUUCAGCUGCUCCAAGCAGCACAACCCACCCAGUCUCCCUUAUACUACAAUUUAGGCUGAGGCCAUGGUGCUGCCCCUCAGGCUUGGGGAGAUGAAACCACCACUGCAAAAANNNNNNNNNNNNNNNNNNNNNNNNNNNNNNNNNNNNNNNNNNNNNNNNNNNNNNNNNNNNNNNNNNNNNNNNACCUGGGAGCAGGGGCUGCACUGCAUGGGGGGAAGCUAGCAGGGGCUAUCGCCUCUCCCCCCCCCUGUAGCAGCUGCUGCUCUCCAGCCACCCAGGUCUGAAGACACAGCGGGAAGAGCAGUGGCUGGUGGCUGGGGGGCUAGCUCUGAAGGCAGCGCCACCAGCAGCAGUGGCCUGAGAGCAGCUCCUGACCCUGUGUCUUGGCCCAUCGGGGCACGCUGUCCAGGGCAGGUGGAGGGUCUGGGGCUCCCCACAGCUGCCUGUUCUGGCCUGGGUUCCAGGGCUCUUAGCCCCAGAGCUAGGUCCCCCAGCGUGGUGGCUAUUACUGGCUGCGAGCAGUUGAAGGGCAGUCACAGCCUGGCCAGGGGGCAGGUGGGGUCAGCAUUUAGGAGGAGCAAGGGUGGGGCUAUGGAGAGCCAGGGCUAUGGAGAGCCAGGGGCACAGCCCCCUCUUCCAGUCUCCUCCCCUCAAAUUCUUUCAGGCUUAGAUAAAAAGAUAAGUCUUGGGUCUAGCAGUGAUCUCUGGUAGCCACAUUCAUCCCCAGUCUCACCCUUUCCCCCAACGCAGCCUUCACUGGCUCUAGUCCUAGCAAGCUGUGUGCUUUAAACAGGUUACUAAGUGCCUGGUAGCUAAGACCACUACCGUUUUCCCACUAGCUUCUGGAGGAGAUGAUUGUAGUCAAUUACUGUGAGCUGUUCAGGGCUAAUUAAUGUAAUCACUUCUGUGUGAAAGUUUUGUAUCAACUCUUGUUAUAAAUGUAACUGAAAGAUUGGGAUAAAAACAUGUCUGUUUUACUUUGGCUAUGACACCACCACUUUGUAUGAUCAGUUUCAUAGUUGCUGCUAGGUAUGGCCUUUUGCCCACCACCACCAAAGCAAAAGAGAGGGAAUGGAUCGUAAAAGGCCAGAAAGUGGUAGGGGAGCUCAAAGGCAGAUAGGGAACCUUGAACUACUUGAAAUUCUUCGAGUCGAUUUCACUGUGUCUGUUAAGCACAGCACCUUGCCCUUCACAAGAGCUGAUGGAAGAGUUCAGAAGCACAGAUUAAGAAUAGGAGAAUGGAUUUUACAUGGUGCCUAUAUACUUUUUAGAAGAGGGGGGUUAUCUGUAAUCCGCUUAUUCCAAUGUUUCUAAAAAGCUUACAAAAACGUAAAUAAAUGUUUCCGAUACUGAAGAGCA
ensembl:lncRNA